AGACAAGUCUGGCCACUUGAAACCUUGUCUCAAAAAAAAGUAAAUAACAAAAAAUAACAAUAACCACCACAACAAAAAAGGAUGUGGGAAUUCUUAAAGCUUCCUGGACUCGAGGAACAACUGAACUUGGUUUCCCAAAUGUCUCCCCACCCCACUCCUGCUCCUGAAAGCCCUUUGUACAGUGUAAAGAGCUGAGCAAACGUUUAGUUGUGUUACUUUCAGGGAAAUGGACAGGCUGCCCGUGCACCUUGGCAGAGAGCUGACCCCAUCUCUCACUGGUGGCCACAAUCGAACGGGACCUGAGCCUUGCCCAGGCUGCACAAUGGAGUUGGCCCUGAUAAGAAAGACACAGGUACUGAGACAGAUGCUUAUGCCACCAUCUGAUGCCAUUGAUGGUGACUUCCAACUUAUGGUCGUCCUGCCUCCACUUCAGGGUGUGUCUUCACAGCAGUUUAAGCACUCCUGGGGAAUCAAAGACAAGGCCUUUUGCAGAUCACACAUGCGCUCUACCAAUUGCUGUGCAUCCACAGCCACAUUCCGAUGUCUUAGGAAUUUUUUCCUGCAAUGCUACAUACAAAUGCAUGUGUUUUGUGUUCAUAUACAUUUUAGAUUUUACAAAUAUGGGACCAUAUUAUAUGUACAACUUGUGAAAGUCAUUCUAAUAAAUAAAUACUAAGUCCCUGCCAA
rnacentral:sRNA from 1 species